UACGUAGGGGCCAAGCGUUGUCCGGAUUUAUUGGGCGUAAAGAGCUCGUAGGCGGUUGGGUAAGUCGGGUGUGAAAACUCCAGGCUCAACUUGGAGAUGCCACCCGAUACUGCUCUGACUUGAGUUCGGUAGGGGAGUGGGGAAUUCCUGGUGUAGCGGUGAAAUGCGCAGAUAUCAGGAGGAACACCGGUGGCGAAGGCGGUUCUCUGGGCCUGUACUGACGCUGAGGAACGAAAGCGUGGGGAGCGAACAGG
rnacentral:rRNA from 1 species